rnacentral:tRNA from 1 species
CCUAGCGUGGGAGAAAAUCGGGAAAUGGAAAAGGGUAUAGCCCUUUUUCCAAAGGUUCAAAUCCUAUCCCUAGCU